AAGGAUCUGCAGUUGUGUCUUUUAUGGGGCCUGUAAACCCUGCCUCUCAAUAAUGUGAUUACAUAUACGAGAGACCCCUGACAACAGCAGUUCAUGUGCAAAUGUGGACAGGGCAAUCCCACAUGCAACACCACUAGAAGAACUACCGGUUGUCAUUGCCUAUGAAGGGGGGGGGGGAUGUUUCUCCUACAGGGACAAGAUCCCACAUAGGCUGUUCAGUCCCCAUUGGUCCAAUCUGGACACAGGGAAAAAUGAUCAAGGCUGAUUGGACUCAGUAGGUUAGAAACACAUGUGUGUAAGUAUGUGCACAAACCACACAUACACAUGCGUGUUGCUCAGUAGAGAGAUCAUAAUUUGGGGAGAGGUCCAUGAGGUAAACUGAGGCACAAAGGGAAAUGGGCUUGGUGGAAGGUAUUUAGAUGCAGUUUUCAUAUGUGAAGUUCUCAACGGACCUAAAAGAACUAGUUCGUAGUUGGGCAGCAAUAUUGAGAAAAUGUGAAAACUGCAUCUGGGAAUUUGAGGACUAGUUCACCAAGUUAUUGAAAAUGUUUUCCCAAAGUAAAGGAAAAAACACAAAUGGAAUAAUUGUUGGAGGUUGCUCCAGCUGAGAAAUACAAAUUAAUGGAUUAAAAUGACCUACCACAAUGUAGUACAAGGAAUAUUAAAAAUCGGUGAAGAAAAUAAUGGUUUUGGUCAUGUUUUGUAUUGUUUUAAUUUUAGGCUAUUGAGGCAGAAACAGGAAUGAUAAGCCAUGAGGAGUUAAUGAUGUAACUUUUGAGUUCACAAAGUAAAGGAUUUAACAUAGCCCUCAGCACGGCGUUAAACAAGAGAGAGGCCUCUUAGGGAUGUGGAUUUUGGAUUAUAAUAAUAAUAAUUAUUAUUAUUUGGGUUUUCAAGGCAGGGUUUCUCUGUGUUAUGGAGCCUGUCGGGACACUGGCUCUCUAGACCAGGCGACUUUCUCUGCCUCCUGAGAGGUGGGAUUCAAGGUCUGUGUCAUCACUGCUCAGCUUGGAUGCUGGAUUCUUAACAGAGCCUGCCUUUUUGUUUCAGAGUAUUAGGUCUUUGAAGACAGGAGUUCCCCAGAAUCCGUUGAUGGUGGAUUUAGGUGUGAUUACAAGUCAACAGUGUACUGAUAUCGACCGAUGACCCGUUAACUCAGGAUAAACUAGAAGCAGAGACUGAACCCCAAUCCGACCUCCAGAAACCCAGUCUGUUCUCAUACUGAAAGGAGACCCUGGAAUGGAAGAAGUGAGGGGAGAUGCAGCCCGGAUGGGAUGUCUCUGCACAAAAGGCAGAGAACAAGCAAGAAUUCUACCCUAACCCUGCAAUCACAGGACCCAGCUGCAGUCCAGGUCGCAGAUCAGAACCCACGGCACGAGGGAUGUGGCUAAGAGUCAGUUGGUGGCAGUUAUGUGCUGUUGGAGGCAGGGCUUUCACUUGGAGGACACCAGUGGCCGAGGCAGUGCGCACAGACAUUGCAGUGUGGCACGGAUUGGAAGGAGUUUCUGAUCUGCUCAAGCAACACCAGUUGGUGUGGAAAUUCUGAAGAAACUUCUGAGAAAGAGAAGAGAGGACGUGAUAAUGCAGAUGGACCCAAAAAGCAGUGCCUCUGAAGAGGAUUCUCACAGAUCCUUCAUGACCCAGUGUGCAAUGCUGUUCUCAUGACUGUAGUGAACUGUGCACACCAUCUGAGUGAAGAUUGCUGGACCUGCUGCUCCUGCAGACAGCCUACUUUCUCAGUGUGGCUCACCAGAUCGCCAUGAACAGCAUGCUCCAUCACCAUAUAGGUGUGCUCUUUGGUAUCGAUGAUGUGGAACAGCUAGAUGAUGUUUGCCUGGUCCAGCUCUUUGAAGAUGUCAAUUUCUGUUAUGUUGCUAUAGUCAUUCUUUCUACCAUUUUCAAGGAUAACAGCAACUUGCACCUUUGUGUGGAAGUGACGGACCAGCUUUACCUCAGCAAAGGUCUCUUUUCCAGGAGUCCUGAGUAUGAUUUAGGGGUUUACGUGAUAAGCCUCUCUGAUUCUCUAUGUCCCUAUGAAUAAUGCUGUUCUCAUGACUGUAGUGAACUGCACACACCAUCUGACAGAAGAUGUGCUGAGCCUGCUCCUCCUGCAGACAGCCCACUUUCUCAAUGUGGCCUGCCAGAUCCCCCUUUGUUGUUGCCUACUCCAUUAUGUAUUAAUGGUCUCUAGUAUUGAUGAUGUUUGACUGGUCCAGCACUUUCAUGAUGUUGAUUUCUGUGAUUUUGCUGUAGUCAUGUGUCCUACCAUUUAUCCGGAUCUUCAUAGCAUCUCACCACUCUGUGUGGAGGUGGCAGACCAGCUUUACCUCAGCAGAGGUCUCUUGUCCGAGGGUCCUGAGUAUGACAUAAUGAUCUUUGUAAGGGAUAAGCCUCUCUGCAGGCUGAGACCCGAGAUGGGUAUUUUUGUGGUGUGACAGAGAAGGCAGAUGAGGGAGCCCUGCAGGGAGUCCAGAUGGCAGUGUGCUUUACUACAGAGAAGUCCAGCACAAAAAGAGUUAAAACCUCUACCGUAGGCUUCUCCAGAGGAACACAUAGUAAACAUGACAUAUGUCCCACUUAUGGCCUUCCCUAGCAUCGUUGUAAGAGUGGAGCAGUGUGCAAACCCCACAAAAGCUGCUCGUGAAUUAGAAGCACCUAAAUAACUAUUUGCGUGGACACGGAAGAGCAAAGCUCAUUCAUCUGUCUCUCGUAUCAAGGAGACACUGUCCACUGCAUGCUGGUUCAGUCUAGAUGUUGGAGAAAGGACCAGUUACUCUGUGAUGUUUACCAGCACCGUAUUUGUGUCUUGACAGGACAGUGACUGCAAGGUGCCUGGUCACAUCCUGAAACAGACACCCAGGGAAUUCCUGACCUGAGGACGUGCACACUCAGCACGGGAGCCAGUGAUGCAGGAGAGCUCUCUCUUUUCGCUGGAAAACUAGCAGGCCCUUUCCUGAGCUCUCAGUUCAGAAGCUCCCCACAGGUUCAGGAGGAUAUCCUGGGUAGGGCAAUGAAAUGAAUUCUGUUGCAGCAUCCAAUCACAGACCCCCUCCCCAAUUAUCAGCAAAUUCUAAGGGUGACAGACGCAUCAAAUUGUAGAUGUUUUACUGUGGAAUCCUUGUUCCACUUCGAUGCUGUGCAUAUUUUGACAAGCACAGAGGUGACCUAUGCCUCUCUAUUCUGACAGACGCCCCGGGAAACCUGCUUGAGCAGAUAAAGUGCCCCAGUAGAGCGGGUGGGAACUAAUGAGCCUCUUUGCAAAGUAUGGGGACAGCAUUGCCUGGGAAGGGCAGUGUCCAGGGCCUCUUUUCCAGGCCAUCAAUCACAUGGUGUACUUGAGGUCCUCCACUUGUAUGUCAUUUGUCUUGGAGAAACAAUUAACAAAUACUGAAAAUACUGAAAUAUUGAUGUAGAAUUCCAAGAGGAUUUAUUCUAAUUGACAUUCAGAAGAGUUUAGGAUGUCUGAGAAGACGACAAAGGAAUAGAAUCUCUCAGACACCUCUGUUUCUCAGCACCCAUCACUGUUGUUAAAGUGACAGACCCUACCCACCUUAUGUCAGCUAAUUUUCUCACUGGCAUCCAGGGAAAGCAAGGCAGUGAAAAUGGACUGCCCUCCAAGGGCUGGAGGAUAACUGUGCAAAGCAGUCAAUAGCAAACCCAUUAGAAAACUCAACUUGAUCUCAAAUGUUACACUUGCCCCAGAUCCAAACACUACAAUGUUCAUGUAACAGUUACAGAAGAGAUCUAUGUAAGUUUCUGCUCAUAAGGAGGAAGAUCAGAAACACCCGGAGAACAUGAACUGUUCUCAUGUGAGCUCUGCAGCCACGGCCCAAGAAAUAGAGAGACUGGAGAACGGCUUGAGGAGACAACUCCUCAGGACAUCUGGAGAGAGUUUGGACUCUGACGCACCCCCGGAGAGGACAAAUUCCUGUUCUAAGCCAAGAUGGUGGUUUACUGCUUAGCGGUGUCAGCAGUGUCCAGGCAGACAGGCCGAUGUGCUCUGUGCACCGCUCUUUACACCCAUGCAACCCCCAAGAUUACUACAAAAGGAUGUGAGACAGAAGCACAGUGAUAACUUUCCAAAGUUGGGGGUCACAUCCAUCUCUGACUGUUAACUUUUUCCUAAGCCCAGGAGGAGGAGGAGGUUGAAGAAAGGAAAUACAUAGGACUUUCUGGAGCUGGUGAGUCUCCAUGUUGCUGCUUCUGGAGCCCGGAAAUCCUAGAGCUGCACACUCCCUAGCCCUGCUCCACACCCAUUGCUGGAUGCAACCCAUGCAGAACCAACACCCUCCUUCUUCCCCACAAUGACUGCAAGGCACCAGGCUGUGCUGUGCUAGAUCUGCCACUUACCCCAGACUACUACGUGCCAGGCCCUGAUGGACACCUACAGCCCACAAUCUACAUAUAAGGUUAGGACUUACCUGACACACACGCUCCUUCCAAUACAAGGGUAUCAGGACCUUAUUGUAGUUUCUGUGCAGAUGCAGGCAUGCGUACAAUGCUAAGCAUCAACCCUUACCUAGCCUCUCACUGUUUUAUUGCCUGCAUACACUACUAUUCAGUGGUAGGGGAUUUAGCAUGGCUGAAAAUUAGCAGUGCCCUGCGGGCAGUAACAGAGGUGUAAGAGACACUGAGCAUUGCCUGAGGGUAGGCACAGUCUGAGGCUCAGGACUGUGGAGUGCAGAGGUAUGUCAUACGUAGUAUUGCACAAGGGCUCAGGUAGGUGGUGAGCAAGCCCUGAAAUCAAAGAGUGUGUUUCAGACUAUCACGGUGAUGGAAGGAGUGUCCCAGCAGCCUGAUAACAAGUAGAGCACUCAUGAAUUUGACAAAAGGAUUAGGGGGUGUCUAAUAAGGCCUGAAGAGUGCACAGCCCUUAUAUUGAGAUGACUCUGUGGGAGCUUCAGGGAGAUGCUCUACAGUGUCUUAUGAAUACAGCAUUGUAUGUUGUGUGGCAGCAUUUGUGAAGUGUCUACUAUAAUAGGGUCUGACCCAUGGCGAUCAAUGUAUAAUACUAGGGGCGUCUCCAGCAGUGCCUGAGCAAUAGUAGUAUAUGUGGAGCAGAGGUGAUGGUGCUGAUACUUUAAGGAACAGUGUGUGUGUGUGUGUGU